CUUCUGCUAGUGCAAUACAGCGAAUGACACUUGAAAACAAAAUGAUAACAAAGUAGACGUCAUUCGUAGCAAAUAAUCGGUUGGCAAUGGACGGAUUCAUGAUGGAGCCCACACUUAACAUCAUCAAAGGCAUGUGCAUCAUGGACAACGAUGGCAAUCGCAUCUUGGCCAAGUACUAUGACAAGAAUGUCUUGCCCACGGUGAAGGAGCAGAAGGCUUUUGAAAAGAAUCUAUUCACCAAAACACAUCGUUCCAAUACGGAAAUUAUUAUGUUGGACGGCCUUACCUGCGUCUACAAGAGUAAUGUGGAUCUGUUUUUCUAUGUGAUGGGCAGUGCCUAUGAAAAUGAACUGAUACUCUUGUCGGUGUUGAAUUGCCUAUAUGACACGAUAAGUUUGAUACUGAAGAAGAAUGUGGAAAAGCGCUUGGUUUUGGAAAAUUUGGAAAUCAUUAUGCUGGCGUUCGAUGAGAUCUGUGAUGGCGGCGUUAUAUUGGAUGCCGAUCCAUCGUCCGUGGUGAAACGUGUGGAUUUGCGCAACGAUGACAUUCCCAUUGCAGAGCAGACCGUCGCGCAGCUGCUAAAGCGGAAACAUUUUAUUGCAAUAUAGAAGUGCUUCCAUAUCCUUCUUACUAUUGUUAUCUUAUGCCAAUACAAAAUAAAUAAAAGUGUUGCAAUCAGCGCGCGAGCAAUUCAAGUGGUCCAUACUUAAGUGAGGCAUAUUCGUAUAAAUCUGAUCGUGCAGAGGAGCCAAAAGAAAGAAGUUUUUUAAACUACAUAUACACAUUUACAUAAGUUGUUUUUUCCAAAAAGCGCAAUACAUUCGAUUUUUAUUGUAAUUAUAAUAUAAUUUAAUACCAUUUACAAACAAUAUAUAGCAAAGUAUGUCGACGUUAAAUUAAAAAUUUGUCCUGUACAACAUAUCCCACUAAAUAUGUAUUUAGAAGCAAACAUAGUCUGCCACUCGUUAGCUAUACAUCGGUUUCGAAAACACAGGAAGGUAUUCGAAUUUAUUAUUUUUAAAUUUAA